rnacentral:rRNA from 1 species
AUGCUCCAUAAAUUGGUUGACCAGAGUGUGGAAUUUGAGGCCGAAGAAUGGUGUAUGUCCGACGACGACCUUCGACUUGCGACGUCUUGCAGCAUGAUGCACUCCAGCCCGGGCAUCAAGAUUUUCCCAAGGCAAGGGCAGCCCACGAAGCGGAGCACACGGUGGCCCUCCGAUCCGGUGCCCCAACUCCUGAGGCGGCCUUCCAUGGUGCAUGGAUGUUUUCAACUAGCAACAGUUUCAAGCGCGACCAACGGUGGUAGGUGUGCUAGAAGAUAUGGCGACACCCUCAAGCGUCGUUCACUGACGAGCGGUGGAGGCGACAUAGCACCAUCAUGGUGUUGCGCGAGCACGCCAAAGCAGCGACACCGGCGGUUAUUCUGCUCAGGUGGGGCCAUGCCUGAGGCUGAGCCAAUGCAAACGCCAAACGAUGAGGUCGAACUAAAAGAGGAAUUUGAGCAAACAACAGUUGUAAGUUAG